rnacentral:tRNA from 1 species
UAGCUCAGUUGGUAGAGCAUGGGCUUACAGCACCAGGGUUGUGGGUUUAAUUCCCAC